CCUACGGGAUGCAGCAGUGGGGAAUAUUGGACAAUGGGCGAAAGCCUGAUCCAGCAAUGCCGCGUGUGUGAAGAAGGUCUUCGGGUUGUAAAGCACUUUCAGUAGGGAGGAAGGUAGUGUAGUUAACACCUGCAUUAUUUGACGUUACCUACAGAAGAAGCACCGGCUAACUCCGUGCCAGCAGCCGCGGUAAUACGGAGGGUGCGAGCGUUAAUCGGAAUUACUGGGCGUAAAGCGCAUGCAGGCGGCCUGUUAAGUCAGAUGUGAAAGCCCGGGGCUUAACCUCGGAAUUGCAUUUGAAACUGGCAGGCUAGAGUCUUGUAGAGGGGGGUAGAAUUUCAGGUGUAGCGGUGAAAUGCGUAGAGAUCUGGAGGAAUACCGGUGGCGAAGGCGUCCCCCUGGACGAAGACUGACGCUCAGGUGCGAAAGCGUGGGGAGCAAACAGGAUUAGAUACCCGGGUAGUC
rnacentral:rRNA from 1 species